rnacentral:lncRNA from 1 species
UUUUGCUGUGAAGGCUUUUGCAUGCUUCCAAGCGGUUCAAAUGGGUCUUGAUUUGGGCUUUCUGAAGGUGGAGAUUGAAGGUGAUGCACUCACAGUGGUGAAAAAGCUUCAUGCAAAUAGGCAAGAGAGAUCAAAAUUUAGUGCAUAUAUAUUAUGGAUUCAAGAUCACUUACUGAGAAUUAUCGAAGAUGUAUUUUAGACAUGCACUGAGACAGGGGAACGGAGUAGCACAUCUCUUAACUACAGAAGGAAAAAGGAGAGGAGAAACGACUUAUCAGUUAGAAGAAAUACCUCUGUUUGUUGCUGAUGCAGUGGAGAGAGACCGAUGGUUGACAGACCCGCUAGAUUAGAUUAUGUUCGUCGGUUGCUUGAAAAUAGUCCCUAAAAUUUGCUUAAUCUCAA